rnacentral:misc_RNA from 1 species
CUGAGUUGUAAAACUCCAACCCUUUGUCAUUCUUUACUCAAGUUGCCUCGGUAGGCGGCCCCAGGGCGGGCUCGCGCCCGCCUGCCGACGGCCAAACCACAAAAUUCUUUUAUCAUUUAGACCUGAAGAAAAUAUAAAUAAGUCA